AUUUCACACACAGCCGCAUACAUAGCUAAUCCGAAAUAAUUAAUUACACGAAACGAAAAAACUAUGGGUAAAUCAUAUUACCCCAAAAAAAACCAAAGCAAUUCAUAUUAAAUCAUACCCGCAACGCUCUGGCCAACAAUAUAAAUAUCGCAUUGGCCAGAGGAUAGAGAAAAAACUGAAUUUUGCCAAACAGAAAAAAUUAUCUUCAGCGGGCAUACCCACACACACACACACCCGGCCAACCCCUUUAACAUUUGGCCUUACAACGAAAAGCGCAUUUGUUGUAAAAAAAAAAAGAUAGACAAUGUGCACGCAACAUAGAUCGCCUGGCAAAAAAAAUUAGUACUGCGCAAAAAAUAAUUUGGGCAAUUUUUCUUGUACCAUGACCAAAGAGGCGGUCAGAGCUUACCCAAUUAUCAUACAUACGGCCGAAUACAUAAUAUUCGGAGUGACGCCCUUUGCCACGGCAGGCCAAUAAAUGCAAAACAGACAACUAGAGAAAAACAAACAUACGUGUCAUGCCCAAUGGGCAGACGUCCAUCCUAUAUAAGCCCUCAGACAUCAAUUGUAUAAAUCGUACAUUCUGUGACCUCGUAUAUAAACAGAGGCAGGACAGGCAACUAUGACCAGUGUGCGUUAUGGAAAAAACCUGGGGCAAUGAAUGCAUGUCCAUUACCUGGAUCUUUCUUUUCCCAAAAUAAUGCAUUAUCUUUGUCGUUAUCUUAUUAAUCUUGUAUUUCCUCUGCCUUUAUGUGCCAUCAAUAAAAUAACAUAUCGAUUCGCA
rnacentral:sRNA from 1 species